GAUCAUGGCUCAGAUUGAACGCUGGCGGCAGGCUUAACACAUGCAAGUCGAGCGGGGAUAGGGUGCUUGCACCUGAUUCCUAGCGGCGGACGGGUGAGUAAUGCUUAGGAAUCUGCCUAUUAGUGGGGGACAACAUUCCGAAAGGGAUGCUAAUACCGCAUACGCCCUACGGGGGAAAGCAGGGGAUCUUCGGACCUUGCGCUAAUAGAUGAGCCUAAGUCGGAUUAGCUAGUUGGU
rnacentral:rRNA from 1 species